GACGGGAGCUCCAGCCUGAACUCUAUCAAAAGUCAACCCGCACCAAAAGUGGGUGGGGCCCCUGCAUGUUCACCCCCGGGGGCAGCUGGGGGGCGAAAAGGCUGAACUUCCCCGCCCCUCCUCCCACGCCUCGGUGUCUUACCAGCCCCUGACCCCAGGAGACCGGGAGGGGCCCUGCCCCGGCAGCCAGACUGGGACGGGGCCCUGGACUGGAGGCGCGGAGACCCCCAGAGGAGACGGAUGCCCCCAUCCCCGGGCGUGGAGGGCUGGGGCAAGGAUGGCUGCCCUCCCCACUGGGCCUCUUGCAGAUGCCUUAAUGCUCCCCCCAUCCCAGGAAGGGAGGAGGAGGGGGCGACUCCUGCCGUGGAGCUCUCUGAGCCACAGAGACUCGGGGGGGCCCUGGCUCUCCCUCCUCCCCUCCCUGCUCCAAGGCCUGAGGCCCAGGGCCUCGGCCUCCCACCCAGCACACGGGCCCCAGGCCCCAGAGCCCUGUCUGCGUCUGCCUAUGUCUGUCUAUUUAUGUAUUUAUUAUUAUUUAUGAAACGUCCCACGGCCACCUCCCACCCCCUUUUAUAUCUUGCUCUCUCUGGGGCAUUUGUAAUGGCUGAGUUUCCCUUGGGAAGCAGGCCCCGGGCCCCAGGCCCAGGGUCCCCCUCAAUGAUACGGAGAACCAAGGACGGAUGGAGUCCCUGCCUGGACGGCCACAGAGACAGAUGAAGGAGCCCCAGAAUCCCACUGGGCGGACACCCCGGAGGGCCGAGAAACUGGGGAGACGACUGGGGGCCCAGAAUCCCCCUGGAGGGAUGCCCCAGAGGGCCGAGAAGCUGUGGGGAGACGACUGGGGGCCCCAGGAGGCCGGUCCCGGGAAGGGGCUGCGCAGGUGACCCCGGGACGAUUCAUUCCCUGUCUUCUGUGAAGUUGUCUGUUCCCUUGAAUUAUGCACUGAGCUGGACACACGCACACAGACCCCGUGCAUACACAGGCGCCGACAAGCCACCAACAUACAGCCUUCAUGCACAUCCACACACAGCAAUAUGAACCCGACUGACCAAUAAAAUUCUUGUACACAGCCCGAG
rnacentral:lncRNA from 1 species